rnacentral:lncRNA from 1 species
GAUGAAUGCACUAGCGAUGAUUUAGCAUCUGUCGUGGGCACCAGACCUGCGGUUGCCUCUGAAGAAUAAGAGAAUGGAGAUUAAUGUGAGUAAUAGUUGAAGUUCCAUUUUCAGUGUUUCUUAUUAAAGAAAUUCACUCAAUCAUUAAGGAAUGUGGAAUAGAGAAGGUAUUGUGAGUAGAGAAGGUAGCUGCAUUUCUGUCUUGACUAUGUUUAUAUGAACCAUUAUGCUGAUUAACUCUAAAUGGAAAAUGACUAUUAAUGUGAGAUAUAUUAAACUAGCAAUAAUUCUGUAUACACCAAAGCUCCUCUGUUUUUAAUUGCACUGCUAAAAUUAUUAGUGAAUUUAUGAUUUAUGCAGUAAAGAAAUAGAAACAUAUGUAGAAAAAGAGGGUCAGUAUUGGAUCAGUGAUGACUACCUGUGGCGUAUGAGUCAUGUAUGAUGAAUACAUGUCUGGAACUCUGAGAUCCUAUGCAAAUGGAAUCUAUUCCAUUGUGUUAUUUGAAGUGAUCCUAUAGUCAAAGGUUACGGAUAUAAAAAGAUCUUUGUUUUGGUUAUUAUGACCGUGCAUUUUUUGACCAUGCAUGGUAGAUGACCAUGCAUCAUUCUGUUUUUAUGAUUUGAUCAAUGAAAUAGUUAAUUGCAAAUUUAUAAAGUAAACAAUGAUGACUAUAAAGACUUUUCAAUAAUAAAUAUAUGUGGCUUUAGGAAAUAAUACUAACAUAGACUAAUACAUUAAUCUAUAUUGAAAAGACUGAUAUCCAUUAGGUAAAAACGUCCUAGAAAGAUGUUAUCUCUUUGGUUAAGAAUGAUUUGGAAAAUGAUAGGUAAUAAUUACUGACUGAGUCAGUAAUCAAUUUGACAUUAGAUUCAUUAAGGGAAAAAGAAGUCAAUAUUAUCAUCAUUUAGUAAAUGACUAAGUUAUUGUGCAAAUGAAGCGCAGAUUAUUGGAUCAAUGGGGAGAAUAUCUGAAUAUUUUUAUCACCUUGUCUGCUUGUUAUUCUUCAGAAGGGGUGUUCCUGCUGCUUCAGCCUUCACUGUGUUCAAUCAUCGGCUGCCUCUGUGUCAGGAAAGCCCUAAGGGCGAGCAUGAGACCUGAAGGAAGGAUUCCUCAUGGGGCACCUGCUUAGGAUGACAUCUUCGCUGUUGGAACCGGAGACCCGUAACAGAAGCUCAAGGUGAUUUCAGCCUCUACUAUGAUCAAUAUCAUUUUCAGGAAAGAGCACGGUGAGUAAUGCUCAAAAAUUUCUUCUUGGUUUGUGUUGUUUAAGUGUUUUCAUAAUAUUCUUUGAAAGUAGUAAAUAUAAGCUAAAGGUUAACUAUGUCCCAGUGAUAAAUAUGACUUGAGACCAUAUGUUGAUUAGUUGAUAAUAUAUAACAUUGAUAUUUAUUAAUGAAAGGUACAAUCUAUUUUGGGGUUAAUUAAAGAAGAGUCAGGGAUGUUUAAUGGCUUGCUCUUUGGUUUUUCUUAUUCAAAUAUUUAUUUUGUUAUUAUCAGUGAAGUAAUGAUUUAAUGGAUAUGAAUAUAAGUAUAAAUGAACUAAAAGUGGGCCCAAAUGGAGCAGUGAUGAUGACAGCCUGACUAUGGAUGAUGUAAACAAGAGUCUGGUACUCUGAGGACAAAACCCAUACUCUUUUUCUUUGUUUAUUUCUUCCUGUGCACAGGUGUUUAGAAUGUACAAAGUUCAAGUUCCUGGACUGAGUUUAAAAAUCAUUACUGUAUCAAUGAAAGCACUAUUAAAGAUAUAUAGAUAAUAGAUGAAUGAAAACAGUGAAUUAUUAUCUAAUUAUGAACAUAUAUGAUGAAACAAGAGAUAUUAAUAAAAACUGCCAACAUUGAUGUCCA